rnacentral:tRNA from 1 species
GGAAAUCGGUAAUUAAACCAUCGGUUCACAUCCGAGAGGUCGCGGGUUCGAGCCCCUCCGUCUCCACCA